AGGGGUAUAGCUCCGUGGUAGAGCGCAUGCUUAGCAUGUACGAGGUCCUGGGUUCAGUCCUCGGUACCUCUG
rnacentral:tRNA from 1 species